UUAAGCGACUAAGCGUACACGGUGGAUGCCCUGGCAGUCAGAGGCGAUGAAGGACGUGCUAAUCUGCGAUAAGCGUCGGUAAGGUGAUAUGAACCGUUAUAACCGGCGAUUUCCGAAUGGGGAAACCCAGUGUGUUUCGACACACUAUCAUUAACUGAAUCCAUAGGUUAAUGAGGCGAACCGGGGGAACUGAAACAUCUAAGUACCCCGAGGAAAAGAAAUCAACCGAGAUUCCCCCAGUAGCGGCGAGCGAACGGGGAGCAGCCCAGAGCCUGAAUCAGUGUGUGUGUUAGUGGAAGCGUCUGGAAAGGCGCGCGAUACAGGGUGACAGCCCCGUACACAAAAAUGCACAUGCUGUGAGCUCGAUGAGUAGGGCGGGACACGUGGUAUCCUGUCUGAAUAUGGGGGGACCAUCCUCCAAGGCUAAAUACUCCUGACUGACCGAUAGUGAACCAGUACCGUGAGGGAAAGGCGAAAAGAACCCCGGCGAGGGGAGUGAAAAAGAACCUGAAACCGUGUACGUACAAGCAGUGGGAGCACGCUUCGGCGUGUGACUGCGUACCUUUUGUAUAAUGGGUCAGCGACUUAUAUUCUGUAGCAAGGUUAACCGAAUAGGGGAGCCGAAGGGAAACCGAGUCUUAACUGGGCGUUAAGUUGCAGGGUAUAGACCCGAAACCCGGUGAUCUAGCCAUGGGCAGGUUGAAGGUUGGGUAACACUAACUGGAGGACCGAACCGACUAAUGUUGAAAAAUUAGCGGAUGACUUGUGGCUGGGGGUGAAAGGCCAAUCAAACCGGGAGAUAGCUGGUUCUCCCCGAAAGCUAUUUAGGUAGCGCCUCGUGAAUUCAUCUCCGGGGGUAGAGCACUGUUUCGGCAAGGGGGUCAUCCCGACUUACCAACCCGAUGCAAACUGCGAAUACCGGAGAAUGUUAUCACGGGAGACACACGGCGGGUGCUAACGUCCGUCGUGAAGAGGGAAACAACCCAGACCGCCAGCUAAGGUCCCAAAGUCAUGGUUAAGUGGGAAACGAUGUGGGAAGGCCCAGACAGCCAGGAUGUUGGCUUAGAAGCAGCCAUCAUUUAAAGAAAGCGUAAUAGCUCACUGGUCGAGUCGGCCUGCGCGGAAGAUGUAACGGGGCUAAACCAUGCACCGAAGCUGCGGCAGCGACGCUUAUGCGUUGUUGGGUAGGGGAGCGUUCUGUAAGCCUGCGAAGGUGUGCUGUGAGGCAUGCUGGAGGUAUCAGAAGUGCGAAUGCUGACAUAAGUAACGAUAAAGCGGGUGAAAAGCCCGCUCGCCGGAAGACCAAGGGUUCCUGUCCAACGUUAAUCGGGGCAGGGUGAGUCGACCCCUAAGGCGAGGCCGAAAGGCGUAGUCGAUGGGAAACAGGUUAAUAUUCCUGUACUUGGUGUUACUGCGAAGGGGGGACGGAGAAGGCUAUGUUGGCCGGGCGACGGUUGUCCCGGUUUAAGCGUGUAGGCUGGUUUUCCAGGCAAAUCCGGAAAAUCAAGGCUGAGGCGUGAUGACGAGGCACUACGGUGCUGAAGCAACAAAUGCCCUGCUUCCAGGAAAAGCCUCUAAGCAUCAGGUAACAUCAAAUCGUACCCCAAACCGACACAGGUGGUCAGGUAGAGAAUACCAAGGCGCUUGAGAGAACUCGGGUGAAGGAACUAGGCAAAAUGGUGCCGUAACUUCGGGAGAAGGCACGCUGAUAUGUAGGUGAAGUCCCUCGCGGAUGGAGCUGAAAUCAGUCGAAGAUACCAGCUGGCUGCAACUGUUUAUUAAAAACACAGCACUGUGCAAACACGAAAGUGGACGUAUACGGUGUGACGCCUGCCCGGUGCCGGAAGGUUAAUUGAUGGGGUCAGCGCAAGCGAAGCUCUUGAUCGAAGCCCCGGUAAACGGCGGCCGUAACUAUAACGGUCCUAAGGUAGCGAAAUUCCUUGUCGGGUAAGUUCCGACCUGCACGAAUGGCGUAAUGAUGGCCAGGCUGUCUCCACCCGAGACUCAGUGAAAUUGAACUCGCUGUGAAGAUGCAGUGUACCCGCGGCAAGACGGAAAGACCCCGUGAACCUUUACUAUAGCUUGACACUGAACAUUGAGCCUUGAUGUGUAGGAUAGGUGGGAGGCUUUGAAGUGUGGACGCCAGUCUGCAUGGAGCCGACCUUGAAAUACCACCCUUUAAUGUUUGAUGUUCUAACGUUGACCCGUAAUCCGGGUUGCGGACAGUGUCUGGUGGGUAGUUUGACUGGGGCGGUCUCCUCCUAAAGAGUAACGGAGGAGCACGAAGGUUGGCUAAUCCUGGUCGGACAUCAGGAGGUUAGUGCAAUGGCAUAAGCCAGCUUGACUGCGAGCGUGACGGCGCGAGCAGGUGCGAAAGCAGGUCAUAGUGAUCCGGUGGUUCUGAAUGGAAGGGCCAUCGCUCAACGGAUAAAAGGUACUCCGGGGAUAACAGGCUGAUACCGCCCAAGAGUUCAUAUCGACGGCGGUGUUUGGCACCUCGAUGUCGGCUCAUCACAUCCUGGGGCUGAAGUAGGUCCCAAGGGUAUGGCUGUUCGCCAUUUAAAGUGGUACGCGAGCUGGGUUUAGAACGUCGUGAGACAGUUCGGUCCCUAUCUGCCGUGGGCGCUGGAGAACUGAGGGGGGCUGCUCCUAGUACGAGAGGACCGGAGUGGACGCAUCACUGGUGUUCGGGUUGUCAUGCCAAUGGCACUGCCCGGUAGCUAAAUGCGGAAGAGAUAAGUGCUGAAAGCAUCUAAGCACGAAACUUGCCCCGAGAUGAGUUCUCCCUGACUCCUUGAGAGUCCUGAAGGAACGUUGAAGACGACGACGUUGAUAGGCCGGGUGUGUAAGCGCAGCGAUGCGUUGAGCUAACCGGUACUAAUGAACCGUGAGGCUUAACCUU
rnacentral:rRNA from 1 species